UACGUAGGGUGCGAGCGUUAAUCGGAAUUACUGGGCGUAAAGUGUGCGCAGGCGGCCGCGCAAGUCGAGUGUGAAAGCCCCGGGCUUAACUUGGGAAUUGCGCUCGAAACUACGUGGCUGGAGUGUGGCAGAGGAAGGUGGAAUUCCAGGUGUAGCGGUGAAAUGCGUAGAGGAUCUGGAGGAACACCGAUGGCGAAGGCAGC
rnacentral:rRNA from 1 species